rnacentral:rRNA from 1 species
CAGUCGUACGCACUGGCCCAACUGAUUGAUGGUGCUUGCACCGGAUUGACGUUGGAUCACCAGUGAGUGGCGGACGGGUGAGUAACACGUAGGUAACCUGCCCCGGAGCGGGGGAUAACAUUUGGAAACAGAUGCUAAUACCGCAUAACAACAAAAGCCACAUGGCUUUUGUUUGAAAGAUGGCUUUGGCUAUCACUCUGGGAUGGACCUGCGGUGCAUUAGCUAGUUGGUAAGGUAACGGCUUACCAAGGCGAUGAUGCAUAGCCGAGUUGAGAGACUGAUCGGCCACAAUGGAACUGAGACACGGUCCAUACUCCUACGGGAGGCAGCAGUAGGGAAUCUUCCACAAUGGGCGCAAGCCUGAUGGAGCAACACCGCGUGAGUGAAGAAGGGUUUCGGCUCGUAAAGCUCUGUUGUUGGAGAAGAACGUGCGUGAGAGUAACUGUUCACGCAGUGACGGUAUCCAACCAGAAAGUCACGGCUAACUACGUGCCAGCAGCCGCGGUAAUACGUAGGUGGCAAGCGUUAUCCGGAUUUAUUGGGCGUAAAGCGAGCGCAGGCGGUUGCUUAGGUCUGAUGUGAAAGCCUUCGGCUUAACCGAAGAAGUGCAUCGGAAACCGGGCGACUUGAGUGCAGAAGAGGACAGUGGAACUCCAUGUGUAGCGGUGGAAUGCGUAGAUAUAUGGAAGAACACCAGUGGCGAAGGCGGCUGUCUGGUCUGCAACUGACGCUGAGGCUCGAAAGCAUGGGUAGCGAACA